GUUUUUCACAUUUCUGCAUUUGCUUCAUUUUUCAAAACCAGAGAAUACAGCUUGAUAUUAUUGUCAGACUUAAUGGGGAUACUUUUAAGUUGGGAGUCAGCCUCUAGUGGCCACUGCUGGUACUGCCCUUUUGAUACUUAAGUAGAAGUGAUAGGUAGGGUUAGGUUUAGGUUUUAGGAGAUUACUUCUUUGUUGUUUUAUCACAGUUUACCCCUUUUACAAGUUGUGAGGAAGACUGGCUGUAUCCAGUUUUCCUCUCUUUAUUUUCAAAAGAAAUACUCAACACUUAAUUUGAGAAAAACUCGAACCAGAAAAACUACUUCUGCAUGCUUCAUAAAAAGUAAACAUGCUGCCUCUUUGUCCGACUGAAAUCUUUCCAGGAAAAACUCGACUCAGAAGCAGCAUUUCCUCAGGAAAGUGGUUCCAUUUCUCACCAUACAUUAAUUUGUGGUUUCGACAGGAUGCAGAGGAACAAACAGCACCAUUAUCUGAGUGUAAAACAGCUACUUAAGAGACGAGUCGGUGCAUAAAACAAACUGAGCAUCACAUGGGAAAGGCGUAAGCAUGGUGUGAGUGAGUUUAUUUCACAGCAUAUUAAUACAAAGUGUGCGUCCAGUCGCUGCUAUCAGAGGCGAUCUGAAUGAGCGUUAGCAGAGGGAGACUUUAGUUCUCCUUUUUCGGGAUCUUCAAAAUGCAAAAAGCUUCAGCUCCCUGCAGCAUGCAUCCCUGUGUGGCAUGCAUGAAUGUAGCCACCAUGUUGGAUUCUGAUAACCUAUCUCUAUCUCUGAGUAAAUGUAUCCGCAGUGUGUGUGUUUGUGUGUGUAGACCAGGCAGGUACACCAGCCCAGGAUGUGUUUCAUUGCUCUGGUCCCUGCUGUGAAAGUUGAUGGGGUUUCCCACAGAGGACGUGCGAAAUGAUCCAGGCAAGUGAUUUGAACAUGUGUAUGUGUGUGUGUGAGAGAAAAAUAGAGGUGGACUUUGCUGUGUAAUGCGGCAUUCAGUGUGUGUUCUGUGUGUCUGAGUGUGUGUUAUCAUUACACUUGAACAGGUGAGAUAGGAAGCGAGUCUGAUUGAAAAACCUGGGCGAUGCGGUUUCACGCUGCGGCUCUCAUUUUACCUCACAACUGCUGCCUGAUUGUUGCUGUGUGACUUAUUUCAAUGUCGGCCAAUCUUCUGAACUCUUCUUCUCCUGUUUCAGCGCCUCCCUGUCAGAAGGUGGUCAGAACAGUCGGACACAGCGCAGCAUAACCAAACUUAUGCAAAUGAGUGAAAUACAAGAAAAUGUCAGCAGCACUUUGACUCCAAAUCCAUUCAGUAUGUAAAACUAAGGAAAAAGGUGGGAGGCAUAAAUUAAAGUAGACCUAUAUGUUAUAACGUUGGAUGUCUACACUUAAG